AGUUCAAAAUGUACCUUUUCUGCGCUUUUAAUGUUUAUCACACUUACAAAUGUAAUCUUUGUUGCUGAGAAUUUUACCUGAUUUCUAACAAUUUAUCUUUCUUCGUAUUCUAGGUGAAUUGCCGUAAUGAUUUCAUUCCUACUUUUCAUAAUUUGACCCAACUGGGGCUUGCCUCUCUCGAUUAUAAUUGGCAAUUCUUACUACAAGUUCUCAACCACUGUCCUAAUCUUCAAAAGCUUGAUAUUGAUGAGGACACCUUGAUUACUCUGCGAGGGUGAUGCGAGUUGUAACAUGGGAUCGAUCAUUCAGAGAAACACCGAAUACUGAUGAAGUGCAAGAUGAUUUUGAUUCAGAGAAACAUCAAACACUUGCUACUGUAUUAGACAAGUUGCUAGCAUGGGAAAGGAAACUUUAUAAAGAUGUUAAGGCUGCUGAGUUAACAAAAUCUGAAACCAAAGAAAGGUUGCCACUGUCAAUAAGCUAGAGAAAAGAGGUACAAACACAGAAACAUUGGAGAAAGCAAAAGCAGAAAUCAGUCAUUUGGAUUCAAUUUACAUUGUAGAUAUGCAAUCAUUGGAGUCAACAAUCUCCGAGAUAAAUGAUUUACGCGAUCAGCAGUUGUACCAGAAACUUGUUCAGCUUGUUGAUGGGACGGCAACAAUGUCGGAACUAUGCAUUACCACCAUAAGAAGCAGUUUAUUAUUAUGAAGUUAUUAAGAUCAUUAGAUUCUCAGUUUCCUAAUGAAACAAGUGAACACCAUCAUGAUAGAACAUACCAGUUACUGAAUGUUAUGCAAGAGUUCGAAUCACAGUUUGAAAAAUCGAUAAACAAUCAAAAGGGCUUCAUAAAAGCUGUAUACAGUUGGUUAAAACUGAAUCUCAUCCUUACUGAGAAUGAUAUAAAAGCAAAGAUUUCUUCACCAUAUAUACAAAUUCUUCUUCAUGCUUGGAAUGAUCAUCUAGAGAAACUUUCUGACGAACUUACUUUGAAAGCCAUAUCACAUUUUGUUGCUGUGGUGGAUUCUCUUUAUCAACAACAAGAACAAGAGUUGGUAUUAAAGAGAAAAUGCGAGGAGAUGCAAAAGUCGACGAUUUGAUCAGUGGGAAUGCAAAUAUAAGAAAAAGAAAAGACUCAUGAGUUCGAUCAGAAUAAGGUUGAAGGUGAUACUAAUGAUCCUGAUGUUGUUAGGGAGAAGAGAGUUUUUAUUGAACUAGAAAAGAGAUUGGAUGAAGGAAAAAGUGCUUUUGAAAGACAGUGCUCACAUGUGAGGCAAAAAUCUUUGGGGUGUCUUAAAAAUAGCUUGCUAGAACGCUUUAGAGCUAUGACAGAUUUUUCUUUUGAAUGUUCUAAAAUGUAUAGUGAGUUAAGGUGUGUAGCACAUAAAUUAAGAUCAGAACAAAGCUCAUCAUUCAUGAGAGUAAAACACAAAGUGUGACUCUGGAACAUAUAAUUCAAAAUGCACAUCUUAUGCA